AAACUUUCAACAACGGAUCUCUUGGCUCUCGCAUCGAUGAAGAACGCAGCGAAAUGCGAUAAGUAGUGUGAAUUGCAGAACUUUGUGAACCAUCGAAUCUUUGAACGCAAAUUGCGCCUUUCUCGGAAGGCAUGUCUGUUUGAGGGCACCA
rnacentral:rRNA from 1 species